GAUGAACGCUGGCGGCGGGCUUAACACAUGCAAGUCGAACGGAAACGCCCUGCUUGCUUGCUACUCGGGUGGCCAACGGGCGAACAAGUCGUGGGUGCUCUGCCCUCCACUUUGUGAUAAGCCUGGGAGACGGGGACUAUUAGCGGAUAGCAGCCAGCUGUAGUGUGAUGGUUGGAGAGAUCUUCGGGGGUUGGAUUAGCUCGCGGCCUGUCAUCUUGUUGGUGAGGUCAUGGCCUACCGAGGCGGCGACGGGUAGCCGGCCCGAGAGGGUGGACGGCCACACUGGGCCUGAGAGUCGGCCCAGACGCCGACUGGAGGAAGGAGUGGGGAAUAGUGCACAAUGGGAGCCAGCCUGAGGCAGCGACGCCGCGUGGGGGAUGACGGCCUUCGGGUUGGAAACGCCUUUCGUUAGGGACGAAGCUUUUUGUGACGGUACCUAGAGAAGAAGCACCGGCUAACUACGUG
rnacentral:rRNA from 1 species